GGAGGUGAGGAUGACCUGGCUGUGACACCUGUCACCCUGUUAAUCACCAUGGUGGAGUCGGCUGAUCUGGCUGGCUGGGCGGGUGUCCCCUUCCUCCCUCACCGCCCCAUGUGUGUCCCUCCUGAAGCUAUGUGCUCCGCGGAAGAGGGUGACCUUCUCUGAUCUUCAGCAAGGGUACAGGAGUAGCUGCACUGUCUUGAUAGAAUUCCAAGAAGCUCUCAAGAGAAAGAUGAAGGGAUGGCAGAGUGGCUCAAGCGGUAAGAGCACCUGCCUGCCAAGUGUGAGACCUU
rnacentral:snRNA from 1 species